rnacentral:lncRNA from 1 species
AAGUCCUGCCGCGAGAAGGGCAGGCUGGGUGGUCGGCGGCUUCCGCCUGUGAGAGCCGGGGGAGAGCCGGGUGGACUAGGCUUCUCCUGGGCGGGCUAUGGGGAGAGCGCCCAGGAGGGCGGGACGAGGCGGGGCCUGGACAGGGUGGGGUUUUUCGGAGGAGUUGCUCUGAGAGGUGCAGCCGGUUUACUCCCGCCCUGAAGUUCCCAAGGGCUUCCGGCUCUUUAACGUUCUAAAUACCUGUCUGUGAAUAUUAGAGGAAAAGCGGGUGCUUAGAGGCAAAGCUACUGUUUGUUAGCAAUUCUUUCUUACUGUGAGGCGUUUUUAGAACCGCCGCUCUGCAGAUGCUGCAUGAUGGGUUUUUAACUUCGUUCAGCCUCAGUUUUUUCAUCAGUUAAAUGGAGCUAAUGUCUACCUCAAAAUUGUGAGCACUAAAUGAGAGAGAUCGCCUGGUGUGCACGUUCAGAACAUAGUGCACGCAUGGCAUUGGGUAAGCUCCCACGUGAUCAGUGGUGGCUGUUAUUAUUUGGCAGAUGAAUAAUUGGCCAGUGUAAAGAGGUCAUUCGAUUUGCUAGGAUUACAGCUAAGAACAGAGAGAAGACUGAAAUAUGAGUUCUGUCUUUCCGUUAUACGAGAUAAAAACAACGAAGCAAAAAAAAAAAAAAAUUAAAGUUUCUCUGAUAGGUGGGAGAAUUUUGCUGUUUUAACCCUGCUUAUGUUUGGACAUUGCUGCGUUGAUCACAAAUGAAUUUUAAAGUUUCUGUUCCUCAAUUAGUAAGUUUUUAAAAAAGCUAAUGGAAAACGAAACAACUAUGGGUAUGGAUAUAAAAAUGAGGAGUACUUUGAAAUUCCAGUGGAAAACUCAACCACCUUCUAUAAAAGCUGUUUUAAAAGGAACUGAGAUAAUCUCCUAGCUUUAAAAAAUAGUGAUGACUACCAUAGAGGUAAGGAGAUUUGCCCAACGUGGCAUCAAAAUGUAGACUGGAAGUACAAACUCUUGAUUCAGAUAUCUUAUCGUCCAAAACACAGUAUACCUGACAAAGCAUUAUUUCACAGUUAUAUUCAUUAUUUCCCGUACUCCUCACAAUGGUCCCAUGUGAAUGAGAUUAUUAUUCUUAGUUUGCUGUGAAGAAAUAGGGGAGGUGAGGUCAUUUGACAAUGCCCAGAGUCAGACAGCAAAGUACAGAGAGAAGACAACCUGAGUUGUGUUUUUUCUGAGUUCUGAUCUCACUGGC